ACAUGAAGCUGGAAUCGCUAGUAAUCGCGGAUCAGCAUGCCGCGGUGAAUACGUUCCCGGGCCUUGUACACACCGCCCGUCACACCACGAGAGUUUGUAACACCCGAAGUCGGUGGGGUAACCUUUUUGGAGCCAGCCGCCUAAGGUGGGACAGAUGAUUGGGGUGAAGUCGUAACAAGGUAGCCGUAUCGGAAGGUGCGGCUGGAUCACCUCCUUU
rnacentral:rRNA from 2 species